rnacentral:tRNA from 6 species
AGGGGCAUGGUGUUAAUGGUAGCACAUCGGUCUCCAAAACCGAGAGUCUGGGUUCAAAUCCUAGUGCCCCUGCCA